rnacentral:rRNA from 1 species
AUUGAACGCUGGCGGCAGGCCUAACACAUGCAAGUCGAACGAGUGGCGGACGGGUGAGUAAUGCCUGGGAAACUGCCUGAUGGAGGGGGAUAACUACUGGAAACUGUAGCUAAUACCGCAUACCAUCGGAUGUGCCCAAAUGGGAUUAGCGAGUUGGUGGGGUAACGGCUCACCAAGGCGACGAUCCCUAGCUGGUCUGAGAGGAUGACCAGCCACACUGGGACUGAGACACGGUCCAGACUCCUACGGGAGGCAGCAGUGGGGAAUAUUGCGCAAUGGGGGCAAGCCUGAUGCAGCCAUGCCGCGUGUAUGAAGAAGGCCUUCGGGUUGUAAAGUACUUUCGGUGGCGAGGCGUUACCCGCAGAAGAAGCACCGGCUAACUCCGUGCCAGCAGCCGCGGUAAUAC